ACCUGGACUAUCCAUUCCCAGCGCUGUGUGUGAUGAACUUCUCGUCACACGUUUCGUACACAACCCCCAUUUUCCGGACGACGGGUCGUUUCUACGCCACCAUCUCUUCUCCUCCUUCUCCGUGGUUAACAAAACCGAGCCUUUCAGCUGGAAUCAAGUCAGUUAAAGCUGAAUCAGCGCUGACCAGAGUCAAUCUCCAGCUCCGAAGUAAUGGCAGCAAAACGACGUCGUGUUGCUCUCGGACGCACGCAAUGGAAGCGGAAAAAGAAGAAGCCUUCUAUUUAGUUCGGAAAGGAGAUAUUGUCGGCGUGUAUAGGAGUUUCGGUGAUUGUCAGAAGCAGAUUGGUUCCUCGAUAUGCGAUCCUCCUGUUAGUGUGUACAAAGGAUACUGCUUGCCAAAGGAAACCGAAGAACAUCUUGUGGCUUUUGGACUUAGCAAUGCCCUUUACACAAUCAGAGCUCAAGAUUUGAAGCCGGAUCAUUUCGGCAAGCUUAUGCUGUGCCCUUUUCAUGUAAGAGGGUUUACUUGUUAUAAUGUGCGUGAAUUUGGACAUAACAAACUGGAACAGAAAUGGAAAAUGAUUGAUGUGGCCGUGUUAUAUUUGUAGGGGUUUUGUACUCUCGAGUUUGAUGGCGCGUCAAAAGGAAACCCUGGACUGGCUGGUGCUGGAGCUGUGCUGCGAGCUGAUGAUGGAAGUUUGAUCGGUAAAGUUCAUGAAGGUCUGGGUAUCAAGACCAAUAAUGUUGCUGAGUACCGAGCUCUGAUAUUGGGGUUAAAAUAUGCGUUGAAGAAAGGUUUUACUAAGAUUCGAGUCCAAGGUGAUUCCAAACUCGUUUGUAUGCAGGUUCAAGGUUUAUGGAAGGUCAAAAACCAGAAUAUGUCUGACUUGUGUGAAGAGGUGAAGGAACUGAAAGAAAAAUUUGUCUCCUUUGAGAUCAGUCAUGUUCUGAGGGAUAAGAAUUCAGAGGCAGAUGCUCAAGCAAACUUGGCAGUUCGUCUUAGUGCUCCAAUUUGGUCUUCUUUUUCAUCACCAAAGCGUCUAUUUUCCUCCUCUGACGUCGUUUCGAGCACCGCCGCCGACCUCGCCGGCGUCGGCGACGACGACGAUGAAGACGCGCCCCUCUACUCUACCCCAUCUGCUGCAUCCUCGGCGGUUCUGCAGCCCACUCUGCUUCAGCCACGUGUGGUGGUGUACGAUGGUGUCUGCCAUCUCUGCCAUGGAGGGGUGAAGUGGGUGAUCAAAGCAGACAAGCACAGGAAGAUCAAGUUCUGCUGUCUUCAGUCUGAGACAGCUGAGCCUUAUUUGAGACUGUGUGGGCUUGAUCGGGAGGAUGUUCUUCGUCGGUUCUUGUUUGUUGAAGGCCCUGGUUCGUAUCACCAGGGCUCCACUGCUGCGCUGAAAGUAUUGUCAUACUUGCCUCUCCCUUACUCUGCUUUAAGCGCACUCUUGGUAAUCCCAACUCCUCUCAGAGAGAUUGUCUAUGAUCAUGUUGCCAAACGGCGGUAUGACUGGUUUGGCAAGUCUGAAGAUUGCUUGGUUUUGAAGGAGAAAGAGUUGCUCGAGCGUUUCAUUGAUAGGGAAGAGUUGGUGAGUCGAGGUGGAUCAGAUUUCUCAGAGUUUUAAAUUAGCUGCAUUCGUGCACAUUUUGCUUAUAGAUUGAUGUAAGGAAAUGAAAGUACAACAUUACUAACGUUUAAUCAAGGGCUCUAUCUCACUCACCUAGAGCAAAGAGCUUGACAUAACUAGCACAAUGUGAUCCAAUAUUUUUUGCUAUGUACAGAUUGCUGAUAUAUAGGGGUC